CAAGUGACCCCGGUCUAACCACCGGGAUGUUCAUAACCCUUGUUUCUGUCCGACUCUGUUGCCUCCGGGGCGACCCUGCCUUCGGGCGGGGGCUCCGGGUGGACACUUCAAACUCUUGCGUAACUUUGCAGUCUGAGUAAACUUAAUUAAUAAAUUUAA
rnacentral:misc_RNA from 1 species